GAUCGGAUCAUUAUACGGGGUCUGUUAAAGAUGCUGUAAGCAUGACGCCAUCGAUGAGGCAAGAUGAAAAUCGAGAUGGCUAAGCAAAUGCAGACAAACAAAAACAUUAUCUUUGGCGGCCUAUUAAUUUUGCUCAUUCAUAACAUGGAGGGCCAUGCCAAUCUACAACAUUAACUCGCAAUCUUUUGGGCAGCGAAAGAGCAUGAGCACGUGAUUGGUGGUUCCAUCCACAAAAUCACUUACCAAGACGCGCUUUGAUUAUCAGGAUCUCACAAAAACACCCUAAACAAGAGGACGUGAUUGCAAUGCCAGACCUAUUAUAAAUCGCAUGACAGUAAAAAACUAUACUUUCAUUUUUGAACCACAUAUAGAGAUGUAAAAAAAAUCACCGGUCGUUUUUUAAUACACUAAAGAAGAAGAGGAGGAGGAAGAAGAAAAGCCAUAUGAGCCUUUCCAAGAUGCCAUGGCUUGGUAAUUCGGUUGAAAAUAGAAAAAGGAGAAACAAUCUCCAAACCAAAUGCCAGCAUCGUUGUUGUUAUCCGUCCGAACGUAUACUUGAACCGCCGGAGAGACGGCGGAUGAAACCACCACGUGACGCGCGUGUUCUCGACGACGCGAAUGAAUCAAAAGAACCCAUUUUAACACGGGCGUAGAAAUGCCCAUCCCACCAUUCCCGCGAUAAAUAAAAUCCGCC
rnacentral:lncRNA from 1 species